rnacentral:tRNA from 2 species
GCCAGGGUAGCUCAGUUGGUUAGAGCGCGGGAUUCAUACCCCCGAGGUUCGGGAGUUCGAUCCUCCCCCCUGGUA